UAAGUCGUUAGGGAAACGUGGGUCUAAUACCGGAUAGGACCAUCGUUUAGUGUCGGUGGUGGAAAGUUUUUCGGUGUGGGAUGAGCUCGCGGCCUAUCAGCUUGUUGGUGGGGUAAUGGCCUACCAAGGCGUCGACGGGUAGCCGGCCUGAGAGGGUGUACGGCCACAUUGGGACUGAGAUACGGCCCAG
rnacentral:rRNA from 1 species